AUUGAACGCUGGCGGCAGGCCUAACACAUGCAAGUCGAGCGGAUGAAGGGAGCUUGCUCCUGGAUUCAGCGGCGGACGGGUGAGUAAUGCCUAGGAAUCUGCCUGGUAGUGGGGGAUAACGUCCGGAAACGGGCGCUAAUACCGCAUACGUCCUGAGGGAGAAAGUGGGGGAUCUUCGGACCUCACGCUAUCAGAUGAGCCUAGGUCGGAUUAGCUAGUUGGUGGGGUAAAGGCCUACCAAGGCGACGAUCCGUAACUGGUCUGAGAGGAUGAUCAGUCACACUGGAACUGAGACACGGUCCAGACUCCUACGGGAGGCAGCAGUGGGGAAUAUUGGACAAGGGGCGAAAGCCUGAUCCAGCCAUGCCGCGUGUGUGAAGAAGGUCUUCGGAUUGUAAAGCACUUUAAGUUGGGAGGAAGGGCAGUAAGUUAAUACCUUGCUGUAUUGACGUUACCAACAGAAUAAGCACCGGCUAACUACGUG
rnacentral:rRNA from 1 species